CGUUAAAGCUUAAUUAUAUCAUUCAACAAAUCCCCCAAACAAAUUAGAACCCUACCUCAAUACUGAAUAAUCCCAUACAUCUAUGGGAGCUAUUAUGUUAAAACUAGUAACAUGAAUACACCUUCUCUUAAAUGUAAACAUAAGUCAGAAUGGACUAUACACUGACAAUUAACAGCUUUAACUAAAAUGACAACUAACCCAAGAAAACCUCACUAACCCAUCUGUUAACCUAACACAAGAACAUUUAAAGAAAGACUCAAAGAGAAAGAAGGAACUCGGCAAAAGCUGAUUCCGCCUGUUUACCAAAAACAUCGCCUCCUGAAAACCCAUAAGAGGUCCAGCCUGCCCAGUGACUCUGUUUAACGGCCGCGGUAUCCUAACCGUGCGAAGGUAGCGUAAUCACCUGUUUUUUAAUUAAAGACCUGUAUGAAAGGCAUCACGAGAAUCACACUGUCUCCUUUCUCUAGUCAGUGAAACUAAUCUCCUCGUGAAAAAGCGAGAAUAUCUUUACAAGACGAGAAGACCCUUUGGAGCUUAAGACAAAAUAAGUAUUUGCCCACUUAUAAAAACCCCGCACCUCACAACAUCAUACUUAUAAGUCUUAGGUUGGGGCAACCGCGGAAUAAAAACAAACCUCCAAGCUGAACGGAAAUUUCCUAAACAAAAAGCAACAGCUUUAUGUAUCAACAAACUGACACAAUUUGACCCAAUAUAUUUUGAUUAACGAACUAAGUUACCCUAGGGAUAACAGCGCAAUCCACUUCAAGAGUCCAUAUCGAAAAGUGGGCUUCGACCUCG
rnacentral:rRNA from 1 species